rnacentral:rRNA from 1 species
AAUGAACGCUGGCGGCAGGCCUAACACAUGCAAGUCGAACGUGGGGCGGACGGGUGAAUAAUGUCUGGGAAACUGCCUGAUGGAGGGGGAUAACUACUGGAACCGGUAGCUAAUACCGCAUACCAUCAGAUGUGCCCAGAUGGGAUUAGCUAGUUGGUGGGGUAACGGCUAACCAGGGCGACGCUCCCUAGAUGGUCUGAGAGGAUGACCGGCCACAUGGGAACUGAGACACGGUCCAGACUCCUACGGGAGGCAGCAGUGGGGAAUAUCGGACAAUGGGCGAGAGCCGGAUGAAGCAAUGCCGGGUGUAUGAAGAAGGCCUUCGGUUUGUAAAGUACGUUCAUCGGGGAGGCGUUACCCGCAGAGGAAGCACCGGCUAACUACGUGCCAGCAGCCGCGGUAAUUC